GCCCCGGUGGCCCAAUGGAUAAGGCAAUCCCCUCCUAAGGGAUAGAUUGUAGGUUCGACUCCUACCCGGGGCGCCA
rnacentral:tRNA from 1 species